AUGAUCAUCUCGGCCAAGGACGUGGCGCUGCUGAGGUCCAGUGGGAUCCUCAAAAAUUUUCUAGGUUGCGACAAGAAGGUGGCGAAGCUGUUUAACGGUACACUGAAUAGAGGCCAACUUCUUGGCGGAGGGCAUGCUCUCCAUACUGUGGUGUCAAAGGUGAAUGCCUACCGUAGCGAGCCAUGGCACGAGUGGCGGGCCACCCUAAUGAGUACCUACUUCAGAAACCCCUGGGCAUUCAUCUCCCUCGCAGCAGCCACCAUUCUACUCAUUGCUACCCUGUUGCAGACCGCAUACGCCGUCAUGCCCAACACUGGUGGAAAAACAGGCUUCCGUCCAGUCCCAUAA
rnacentral:rRNA from 1 species